rnacentral:lncRNA from 1 species
UGGAGCCCGUAAUGUUAGAGAGCACGCACACUUGCCUACAUUCGAUAUAAAGUAUAGACAUACGUUUGUUUUAUCGGCAGCAGCAGCAGCAACAGCAACGUCAGCAGCAUUACGCCUCUCUUUCUCUAAGUCUGAAGGUGAGUUGGUAUAUCAGCACACAAACGCACCCACAUCUCUUGUUCACAUUUGAAUCAUGUGAUACUGGAAUGCACUGAUGUGGGUUUUGAUGGUGAAAACUUAGCAUUUAUAUCCUCUAAGAAUUUGAUUAAGUUGGUGGGUUGGAUAUGAAUUUCAGUGGCUUCUCUAAGAAUUUGCUGAAGCUGUUAGAGGGAGAAGGGGGUGGGGAGAUCUGUUGAUUUUCGGAUUUAGAGUCGUUUGGUUAAGUUGGGUUUUUUUAGUUCUGCCGUUGGUGGUGUUAAUUAAUUUGACUCUUUGUAUUUUAUUUCAACACAUGGCAUAAGACGUAAAAAUUUCAAUGCAAAUUCAAGCAUGUUAUGAUUCUUGAAUUGAGCUGUUUGCAUUUUUAGGAUUGGUUAGUUUUACUUACUUAUGAAUUGAGCAGUUUGUAAAAGCAUGUUCAGAUCUGAGUUGAUUUUGUCAAUGUCUUAGCAUUCUGCUCUGCUUUUUCCCUUUCCCUUUCAGUGUUUUGUUCCAUUUUUUUAUCUACUAUGUGAACUGGAUUGGCUUUGUAAUGUGAAAAGGAUAAUUGAUUUGGUUACACAGUAAUGAAACCCAAGUGGGAUUCCUUUAGAAUUUGAAAACUCUCAAUGGUGAUAACAAUCCGAAUAGCUUUCAAUGUGAAAUGGAUGACUUUGAUAUUAUGUGGUUGGUUAUUGGGUUUAUUUUCUAGUCUAGUUGAAUUCAAGGUUCCUGUUUAAGCUAUGCUGACAUUUGGUUGUAUCUGUAGAGUUGGAUUCACAUGUACUUUUCUUUUGUUAUUUUUCUUCUGCUAUCAUAUGCAGAUCAACUUAACUGAACUUGUAUUUAUUGUACUGAAUUUUGAUUAUGAAACUAAAGUUACCUAUUUGCAACUUAUGAUUUGAUGACACAGGAAAAAUUCAAAUUUUGUUUUCCGUUCUUUGAAUAUGAGCUGAGGAAUUUAACAGAAUUAGAACUUUUAUGCAGAUGUUGUAAAGAGAACAUAUUUGUUGAGCCUAAAAGAAAUUCGGCGUGUAGCCUUGCGAUCUUUCUGAAUUUGAAAUACUGUUAUGUAUAUUUAAGUAUCUUGUUUGAUCAUUUUGCUUGCCCUGUAUGGCCUGGUCUUUGUCUUUACUCUUUACGGAUUUGUUUAGGCCUUUGUUGUUGUGCAGUGGUCUUCCCUGUUUUAUUAAUUUAAGCAUGUAUUCAAAAAGAAAGAAAGUAGAAGGGAAUUUGCAAAAUGUGUUUAGUGUGAUUCCAAACUUGUUGGACACUUUCAAGUUCUAGUUUUGCAGCAAUCAUUCACAUUACAGCAGUGUAGUUUUCACAACAAAACGCCCAUGUAGUCCUUGAUUAGUUGAACUGCAUGAAUGCGGUGACAGUUAUGUGGUUAUAGCAAUAGCUUAGGAAGAGUUUGUCAUUGUGCUUGAUAAAGUUGGUCUUCCCCCUAAUCUUGCUGCCGGGGUCAUUGCUAAUGCAAGUUCAAAAUUUCAGACAGGAUUGAACUGGUUUAAUCAAGCCCUCUUCAAAGGAGGUUACUUGAACCAGAUUACGGUGACAUCCAUUGCCAGUGGGUGAUUACAAUACGAAAUCACUGCAAAAUAAAAAUAAAAAAAGCUCUCUAGAGAAGUUAUGAUGUUCUAUAUUUGCCUCAUCAGCAUGAAUCUGUUGUAGAAUUAUAUUCACUUCAUAUGUUAGUUAUGUGACGAGAUAUCCAAUGCUAGGUUAGGCCAAUAUGUGAUUAUUUGUUUUAUUAGUUCUUACCUUUGCAAGUCUUUUUUCAUUUUCAUUUUUUGGGUGGGACUGCUUUUUCAAGUCUGAUCAUUGGGUGAACCUGCUUUUUUAUCUACAGAGCAUUAUCAUAAACCUUUCUUUUUAUUCAGGACAUCAUAAGAAUCAGAAAAAGGGUGCCGGAAGAAUUUCUCUGCUAUGGUACUCUCUCUCUCUCUCUCUCUCUCACACAGAGAACACAGAGACGCCCAUAGUACUGUCAUUACUCUCAUGAUUUAUCUAUCUUAUUAUUGCAGAUAUCAUUUCCUUUGUCUCAUUUCCUCUGAAGAUUUUAAUCUUGAGUACCUCACACCUAUUUCUUUAAUUCCUAGGUAUGUCAUUGUGGACUUUUUUUCAUGAAUGCGUUGUUUUUUUUUUUACUUUCCCUUUUUAGUUCCUUUUUGGUAAGAAAUGGCUUCAUCUUGUAUAUGUUGUCACAGGAAGCUUGACAUGAAUGGCGAUUUCACAUUUACACUGUCUGCAAUCUGUGAGAGUUUCUUUCCCCUGCCGUCCUUCCGUUUCUAACAAUUAUUAUUAUGGUAGAGACAAUUUCACGAGAAAGAGCAGUUCCCUUGUUUAUGCCUCCACCAACAACUUGGACAGGGACCUUCAUCUUCAAUCAAAGGUACCUAUUUAUGCAGUCAGAUCAUACCCGGACUGUUGUGUUGUGGUACGGACUUACAGGUCUUAAACAGAGAAAAGAGAGAAUGAUAUUGCUGGAUGGUUUUUUCUCAUUAGCAUAUCUUGAAGCUGUCCAUUGUUGUUCGAUACCAUCUGGACUGUACGCUCCUUACUUCCAAAGAAAAAGUAUUACAUAGAAAUAUUUCUAAUAAGUGAUACAGAAGGAUUCUUCAUUGUUUUUAUCUUAUCUUGAUAAACCCAUUAGCAUUUAUAGAAUCAAUACUGACUACAUCUAACCCCUGUUCUUUAGCUGUUUCUCAAAUAAAAUAAAAUUUUGUUACACUGGUUCAUUUCAAUACCUGUUCUUUCGCAUGAUUCAUCUUCUAGAAAAGUACCCAAUGUUCCCCAAUAGUUUACGUAUAAGUGCUAUAUUUGGCCACAUGUGAACUCUACAUACUGACCCCCUUUCUUUAUUGUUCAUAUUAUUCACAAAUACUUAUAAUUUUCCUUUUCUUCAGCCAGAUAUUGUCAAUAUGUGUGUAGGUAACAGCCAAUUGUCAGAAAUCAAAACUUACUUUUACAAACUUCUUUCUCUGAGUGUGCAUUCAAAAAGACUCAAAUUUCCUUUUCUUCAGCCACAUUUUGUCACAUAUGUGUGUAGGUAACAGCCAAUUGUCAGAAAUCUAAACUUACUUUUACAAACUUCUUUCUCUGAGUGUGCAUUAAAAAAGACUCAAAUUUCCGUACAUUUUCGAAGCAUUCUUAGGAGAGCGCUGGUAAGUGUCUACCAUAUAUUAAAUAGGGCAUAGGAGGACCAUAAAACCUAUUGGCAAAAGAUAGGACAAAACUUGAGAACGGUGUUCCUGCUGCUCUAAUGUUUUUUGUCUUAACGGUGUUCAUCAUUCCAGUGUUGUGUUAUCAAUAAUUCCAAAAGGAUUUAUUUUCUCUCUUCAUAUUGAUUAUCUGAUAAUCAAACA